GACGAACGCUGGCGGCGUGCUUAACACAUGCAAGUCGAACGGAAAGGCCCUGCUUUUGUGGGGUGCUCGAGUGGCGAACGGGUGAGUAACACGUGAGUAACCUGCCCUUGACUUUGGGAUAACUUCAGGAAACUGGGGCUAAUACCGGAUAUGAGCUCCUGCUGCAUGGUGGGGGUUGGAAAGUUUCGGCGGUUGGGGAUGGACUCGCGGCUUAUCAGCUUGUUGGUGGGGUAGUGGCUUACCAAGGCUUUGACGGGUAGCCGACCUGAGAGGGUGACCGGCCACAUUGGGACUGAGAUACGGCCCAGACUCCUACGGGAGGCAGCAGUGGGGAAUAUUGCACAAUGGGCGGAAGCCUGAUGCAGCAACGCCGCGUGCGGGAUGACGGCCUUCGGGUUGUAAACCGCUUUCGCCUGUGACGAAGCGUGAGUGACGGUAAUGGGUAAAGAAGCACCGGCUAACUACGUG
rnacentral:rRNA from 1 species